GAUUAGUCUCCGAAUACAAUUCAUCAUAUUAGUCUCCGAAUUUAAAAUACCGAACAAAGUUAGAACAUUACAAGUCUCGAGACCGCGAGUAGCGAGUUUGUCUUCACAUUACAAGUCGAUAUCGACCAUCUAAACUAUCAUCACAUAGAAGAGAGAUGCGGUCAUCACGAUAAGCAUAAUCGCAAUGAAACUGGUCUUCAUCCAGUUCCUCCAACGCUCCCUCCUCUCUACCGCUAGAUAGCGCGCGU
rnacentral:lncRNA from 1 species